CCUACGGGAGGCUGCAGUGAGGAAUAUUGGUCAAUGGGCGCUAGCCUGAACCAGCCAAGUAGCGUGAAUGAUGACUGCCCUAUGGGUUGUAAACUUCUUUUAUAUGGGAAUAAAGUGCAGUAUGUAUACUGCUUUGCAUGUACCUUAUGAAUAAGGAUCGGCUAACUCCGUGCCAGCAGCCGCGGUAAUACGGAGGAUCCGAGCGUUAUCCGGAUUUAUUGGGUUUAAAGGGAGCGUAGGCGGGUGGUUAAGUCAGUUGUGAAAGUUUGAGGCUCAACCGUAAAAUUGCAGUUGAUACUGGCAGCCUUGAGUACAGUAGAGGUAGGCGGAAUUCGUGGUGUAGCGGUGAAAUGCUUAGAUAUCACGAAGAACUCCGAUUGCGAAGGCAGCCUGCUGGACUGUAACUGACGCUGAUGCUCGAAAGUGUGGGUAUCAAACAGGAUUAGAUACCCCUGUAGUC
rnacentral:rRNA from 1 species